rnacentral:rRNA from 1 species
GUAGGUGGCGAGCGUUAUCCGGGAAUUACUGGGGCGUAAAGGGCACGCAGGCGGCCGCGCAAGUCUGACGUGAAAGCUCCUGGGCUUAACUGGGAGAGGUCGUUGGAAACUGCGAGGCUUGAGGUAAUGAGAGGGGUGCGGAAUUCCCGGUGUAGUGGUGGAAUGCGUAGAUAUCGGGAGGAACACCAGUGGCGAAAGCGGCACCCUAGCAUUGACCUGACGCUCAUGUGCGAAAGCGUGGGGAGCAAACGGGAUUAGAUACCCCGGUAGUCCACGCUGUAAACGAUGAGCACUAGGUGUGGGUAGUGUUAAAGCUAUCUGUGCCGAAGCAAACGCGAUAAGUGCUCCGCCUGGGGAGUACGGCCGCAAAGGCUA